rnacentral:rRNA from 1 species
GAUGAACGCUGGCGGCGUGCCUAAUACAUGCAAGUCGAGCGAACAGACGAGGAGCUUGCUCCUCUGACGUUAGCGGCGGACGGGUGAGUAACACGUGGAUAACCUACCUAUAAGACUGGGAUAACUUCGGGAAACCGGAGCUAAUACCGGAUAAUAUAUUGAACCGCAUGGUUCAAUAGUGAAAGACGGUUUUGCUGUCACUUAUAGAUGGAUCCGCGCCGCAUUAGCUAGUUGGUAAGGUAACGGCUUACCAAGGCGACGAUGCGUAGCCGACCUGAGAGGGGGAUCGGCCACACUGGAACUGAGACACGGUCCAGACUCCUACGGGAGGCAGCAGUAGGGAAUCUUCCGCAAUGGGCGGAAGCCUGACGGAGCAACGCCGCGUGAGUGAUGAAGGUCUUCGGAUCGUAAAACUCUGUUAUUAGGGAAGAACAAAUGUGUAAGUAACUAUGCACGUCUUGACGGUACCUAAUCAGAAAGACACGGCUAACUACGUG